CAGUAGACAAUUCCAUGAGAUUAAAAUAGGUAGAAAGUACAGAUGCAGUAUAUUAUACAUGAACCAAAAGGGCAUUUUUUAAUGCAUUAAAAUGAUCAGAACUAAAAUAGUAGUUGAGGAAGACUAGCUUUUGACUAGUAUGGAUAGUUCACGAGCAGCUUUGUUGGGUACAUUAUUAUUUGUAAGCGACAACACAGAAAAUGUCUAGUACUUUUUUAAAUCAACUGUGAACUGUUAACACAAAUUGUCAAAUGUGGGACAAUGUAUGUUUAACAACUUUACACCAGUUAUAUUAUUUCUUGACCUUUUUAUGAGAUGGGAUAUUCAGCUGUCAUUCUUCUAACAGAAGACGAGUUAUUCUGACUCAUUGAUUGCCACAGUGAAACCAGCAACUAUCUAGAAACAACUAAUAUUUCCUUCGGCUUUUUUUAUUCUUCUCUGGGAAAAUAAUGGGAACCACUGGGCUAUUUUGUGCCUUGGAGGAGAACAAAAACGUAGCUUUCAUUUCAUUUUCAGAGGAAUUCUUUUUGUUUUUUAUAUUAAAUGUGAAUAAUUAUUGCUUUGAUCCUGUUUUAUUUUACUGUUGAGACGUGUGCAAAUACAUAGAUUUGUUCAACAAACUGUUUCUUUGCAGUUUUAAACCUGAUAAUGUGACUAAUGACAGAGCUGCUUAAAGAUCUGCACACCUUAAAGAUUCAACUACACAACUGUGUUUUAAAUCAUCAUGGAUCACGUAAUAUUGGCACAAGAAGAAAUUAACUGGUUCAUUAGUCCUUGAAUUUAACACAAAGAUAGAAGAAAUGAUACUCGGAGAUGUUCCGCCUCAGGAGAAUCACUUUGAAUCACACAUAGAAGAAACAUCCCAAAGGGGCUGUAGAUGCUGUAUGGAUUAGAUAACCAUCAACAAUACAAUGCAAGAGUUCUGUACUGGAUAUCCAUUUCGUGUGCAAGGAACCAUAAUACUACUUUUUGCACCUCCGUAUCAAAUCACUGGAUGAACUAAGUUAUCAAGCAUACACUCCAUGCAGCUUUUAACAAAUCCCAUAUAUGGGUUGAAUGUUUUUGAGCUGCGCAAGGAUUUACAUUAUUCAUGUUUCAGCAUAUAUUUCUUGAGGUUGGAACUUACAGUUGGUUCAUUAACUGUUCAUUUUGAAGUAUUAAUAACUGAUCUUGCUACAUUAGUAUAAUUUAAAGAAUUAAAACUUUUUGUUGCCGCUGUUCUUGUGAAUAAUGUAUUGUUUUAUCAUGGAUCUGUUAUGUAUGAAAUAUAUCACAUGGCAUGUGUUUAAAUGAAGACUGAUAAUUUGCAGUACCUGUUACUCUUGUAGCUGGUGUAAUAAAUUUGUAUUUUCAGUGUUGUAGCCGUUAUACUCCACAGCCCAUGUAACAUAAUGUUAUUUUAUUUUGUAAGUAUUGCAUAAUCUGACCAAUGAAUUUUAAUAGGUCACAAGAUUUUUUUUCCUGAACUUUGAUUCCCACAGCAGCUGAAAUUUCUAUUGUACAAUAGGAUUUCUAUAGGAUUUAGCAAAAUAAAAACAAAUUUCAUAAUGUUCUAGAA